UUAUUUUUUCCAACUUUUUUUCCGUAUCUUCAUAAAUGUUUCACUCUUCUUUUGUUAGUAUUUCUUAGUCUCUUGAGUCAAGAAAUAUUUACUGAGUAUGAUUGCAUGCAUAAGUAGUGUGCGUUAGAGAUACGAUACCUGUAAGACACCACAGUGCUGGGUAGAUCCGGGUGCCAUUGUCUGUUGCCAGGGCCGAAGUUGGCAUUUUGUAAGUGUUCGAAUAAGCACCAUGCCGUGGGAUAAGAAAUAAAAGUGUGUGCC
rnacentral:lncRNA from 1 species